UACGUAGGGUGCAAGCGUUGUCCGGAAUUAUUGGGCGUAAAGAGCUCGUAGGCGGUCUGUCGCGUCGGAUGUGAAAAUCCAGGGCUCAACCCCGGACCUGCAUUCGAUACGGGCAGGCUAGAGUGUGGUAGGGGAGAUCGGAAUUCCUGGUGUAGCGGUGAAAUGCGCAGAUAUCAGGAGGAACACCGGUGGCGAAGGCGGAUCUCUGGGCCAUUACUGACGCUGAGGAGCGAAAGCGUGGGGAGCGAACAGG
rnacentral:rRNA from 1 species